GGGCCACAGGCUGGGCAUGACACAUCUUGUUACCCAUGCAAUGUUGGGGUCAGAGAGUGUAGAGAGUGGUGUGGGGAGAGUGCAGGCUGAAGAGUUACCUAAGGUCAAAAUCCUGACCUAUGAGCCAAGCCAUCGAUUUGGGAUUUCUACUGAGGACACUGGAAGUCACUAAGAGCAUCUGAAUGCCUGGACCCACGCCUUCAUCAAUCUACUGUCAGGGAUAGAUUGUGCAUUUUCUGUGUCCCAGUGGGUGGCCCCCCCAAAAUAGAGCAGACAAUGCCUGGCCUGCAAGGGUACUGGUUUAGUUCAACAAAUAUCCAUAGAAUGCCCACUUAGGCAAAAUGGCAUAGGGCAGAUUGCCAAAAUCAGGGUUGACUCGGCCUGGAGCCAUGAAGUGGGUCCAACAGGUCUCUGAACUGAGGCAGGAGGCCCCAGGAUCCCGAGGUGUGCUGCAAAGCCUUUGAUGACAGCAUCUUGUGCCUAACACCUGACCACAUCUGAGCCACUAGAGACAGUACCUGAUAAGGAUGCAGAUGCCUGGGCCCUACCUUCCAAAGUUCUGGCUCAGUAGGUCUGGGGGAAGACCAGUAAUCUUCAUUUUAACAAAGACCACUGACGGUUCUGAUGCAGGUGGUCCAAGGACCACACCUGGAGAAACUUCCACCUCUAGGAGCAUCUGGGGUAAAAACUUCGCCCAAACUUCCUAAGGUCACAACAUAUCCCCCCAACAGAGGAAGCAGUAACUUUUGGCCACAGCCCCUAGAGAGGGGAUUUGCCUGGCGUUUCUAUACUGUCCUCUGUCCAAGGAC
rnacentral:lncRNA from 1 species